rnacentral:rRNA from 1 species
CCUACGGGCGGCAGCAGUGAGGAAUAUUGGUCAAUGGCCGAGAGGCUGAACCAGCCAUGCCGCGUGCAGGAAGACGGCUCUAUGAGUUGUAAACUGCUUUUGUACGGGGGUAAACGCAGAUACGCGUAUCUGUCUGAAAGUAUCGUACGAAUAAGGAUCGGCUAACUCCGUGCCAGCAGCCGCGGUAAUACGGAGGAUUCAAGCGUUAUCCGGAUUUAUUGGGUUUAAAGGGUGCGUAGGCGGUCGGAUAAGUUAGAGGUGAAAGCCCGAGGCUCAACUUCGGAAUUGCCUCUGAUACUGUUCGGCUAGAGCGUAGUUGCGGUAGGCGGAAUGUAUGGUGUAGCGGUGAAAUGCUUAGAGAUCAUACAGAACACCGAUUGCGAAGGCAGCUUACCAGGCUACUUCUGACGUUGAGGCACGAAAGCGUGGGGAGCAAACAGGAUUAGAUACCCUAGUAGUC